AUACGGAGGGAGCAAGCGUUAUUCGGAAUCACUGGGCGUAAAGGACGCGUAGGCGGGUUUGUAAGUCAGGUGUGAAAUCCUACAGCUCAACUGUAGAACUGCACUUGAAACUACAGACCUAGAGUAUGGAAGGGGCAGAUGGAAUUAGUGGUGUAGGGGUAAAAUCCGUAGAUAUCACUAGGAAUACCGAAAGCGAAGGCGAUCUGCUGGGACAUUACUGACGCUGAGGCGUAAAAGCGUGGGGAGCGAACAGGAUUAGAAACCCCGGUAGUCC
rnacentral:rRNA from 1 species